AUUGAACGCUGGCGGCAGGCCUAACACAUGCAAGUCGAACGGUAGCACAGAGAGCUUGCUCUCGGGUGACGAGUGGCGGACGGGUGAGUAAUGUCUGGGAAACUGCCCGAUGGAGGGGGAUAACUACUGGAAACGGUAGCCAAUACCGCAUAACGUCGCAAGACCAAAGUGGGGGACCUUCGGGCCUCACACCAUCGGAUGUGCCCAGAUGGGAUUAGCUAGUAGGUGGGGUAAUGGCUCACCUAGGCGACGAUCCCUAGCUGGUCUGAGAGGAUGACCAGCCACACUGGAACUGAGACACGGUCCAGACUCCUACGGGAGGCAGCAGUGGGGAAUAUUGCACAAUGGGCGCAAGCCUGAUGCAGCCAUGCCGCGUGAAUGAAGAAGGCCUUCGGGUUGUAAAGUACUUUCAGCGGGGAGGAAGGCGGUGGAGUUAAUAACUUCACCGAUUGACGUUACCCGCAGAAGAAGCACCGGCUAACUCCGUGCCAGCCGCCGCGGUAA
rnacentral:rRNA from 1 species